rnacentral:rRNA from 1 species
UACGUAGGGUGCAAGCGUUGUCCGGAAUUAUUGGGCGUAAAGCGCGUGUAGGCGGUCCGGUAAGUCCGCUGUGAAAGUCGGGGGCUCAACCCUCGAAUGCCGGUGGAUACUGUCGGGCUCGAGUGCGGAAGAGGCGAGUGGAAUUCCUGGUGUAGCGGUGAAAUGCGCAGAUAUCAGGAGGAACACCAAUUGCGAAGGCAGCUCGCUGGGACGUUACUGACGCUGAGACGCGAAAGCGUGGGGAGCAAACAGG